UACAGAGGUCCCGAGCGUUGUUCGGAUUCAUUGGGCGUAAAGGGUGCGUAGGCGGUUGGGUAAGUCAGAUGUGAAAUUCCAGGGCUCAACCUUGGAACUGCAUUUGAUACUGCUUGACUAGAGUACUGGAGAGGAGACUGGAAUUCACGGUGUAGCAGUGAAAUGCGUAGAUAUCGUGAGGAAGGCCAGCGGCGAAGGCGAGUCUCUGGACAGUUACUGACGCUGAGGCACGAAGGCUAGGGGAGCAAACGGG
rnacentral:rRNA from 1 species